UUUAUAUAUCUAUCUCGAUUAAUUUUAGGUGAGACUAACAACCGUUAGGUGAACAAAACUAUUACACUCUGUAGCAAUAUGUUGCAAGAGUAUAAAAAUAUAUAUACUUACAUACAUUUUCAAGAAAGAGCAAAUGAGUGAAAUUUCAGCAGGUAUGUUAUUUUAUAUUAAAUUUUUUUUUAAAUAUUGCCUAAAAAUUUUCUGAAAAUUUUGACAGACAUACUAUUGUAGUUGCGGUGUGACACGCAAAAGCAACAUCGGUGUACUUACAAUCCCAAACUGAGAACCACUGCUGAAAUCUGUAAAAUCGAUCGAUUACGGAACUUGGUUUGAAAAUUCGGCUAGCGGAAAUUUUUUAUUUAAAGUUUUCAUAGGCUUCACAUUGGUGGCAGUCGAAAGUGCGGAAUAAUAUAUGCCGCGAAGUUGUUGUAUUGUACCAAGAUGCCCAACAGGGAACGAUAGGGAAAAGUUGGUGCCCCUGGUAAAAUUGUUUAAAUUGUUGAAAGAAAAUUUAAAAAGCGGAAAUAUAACAAUGCUUAUAAAAUAUACACAAAAUGAGACAUAUUUACUUUUUUUAUAUUUCCGGUGGAAGAGUGAAAGUCGUUGGUUUUGAGGAAUGAUCGAGGAUGUUAGUGUUGACCUAAGGUUGGAAGUGUGUCUUGACAAUGUCAAGUCUACUGAGGUGUUCAUGAGUAAACAAGGAUAUCCAUUUUUUAAACUUCUUGAUGCAAUAAAGUAUACAUAUAUGUAGUAAACAUUUUUUUAAUGAAUUGGAAAAUGAUUUUCUCUUAAAAUCUUGAAUAUAUUAUAUUUUCGAAGUUUAUUAAAAACUAUUAGUUUGUAGUAAAAAAUAAAUAUAUAUAUUAUUAAUCCUCCUCUAUCAGCAGAUUUCCAUCUUAACCCUGAAUUCCUGGGUUUCUAUCCUAAGAUUUAUCUGUAUUAUCUAACUAAAUACUCCCAAACAACUUAUUAUCCUGAUAAAUAUACAAUAUAUUUAUAUAUAUUUUUAUUUAAUAUAUAUUUAGGACCACGUUUUUAGAAAUACUCGCGAAGUUCUUAAUUAAAAUACGUGAUCGAAAUUUCUCUGUCAAAGCUGGUUAAAAGGAUUUCAUAUACCACUAAAUUGAUGGAUCUUAAAUAUUGCGAUAAGCUACUUGAUAAAAAAUAAUUAAACAUCCAUACGAAAAUCUGGUAACAUUGUUAGCCACCUCUUCCUUACCUAAGUCUCUAUGAUAACCGGUAAAAUAUUAUUAUUAUGUUGGUUGUAAAGAAAAUGUAAUUUAAUAUCAAUAUUGUUCCAAAGAGCCUUAUUUAAAAUUUAUAUAAUAUUUUCUAAUACAAAAUUUUAAUAAUCACAACAAUUUGAUUUAAUAUCUCUUCUGAAGAAGACUUCGAGCGUUCCAUAUCUCAAAUCAAGACUUUCAAAUUACAUUGCCUUUUUACCACUCUUUUCGUGAAAACCAUUUUACUCCUGUAUUGCGAAUUGCCUGAGGUUUAGGCAUAUCUUUGUGUCUGAGGUCAUAUCUACGUACCGGUCAUAUCAGAAGAUAUUUAUAGCUGGCUAGACCUUUUUAGUUUAGGCCACUUAAAUUCAGUAUUUGCGAAAAUACAAAUAAAAAGGAGCAAAAAAUGCGUACCGGUGUUUGUGGUUUCCGAGUAUAAAAUUACAAAAAGCGUGAAUUUUCGCUUUAGAAUUACAACAAGUACUACUUCUACAUGCGUAACUAUAUCCUAAAGGUCAGGCUGACGCCGAGUAUAAUGUGAAAAAAAUGGAGAAUGUAUUUAAUUUUCUUUUCAGCUUUUUUCGUCUUCUUUUUUUAUGAUUUGAAAUAUAUGAAUAUAUUCGUCACUUUGUUUCUCUUUCGUCGGAUUUAAUUAAAUUUUGAUUGAUUACAAUUUGCUAGAAGGCAUUUAAGCUUGCAAGCGUUCGCUGAUGCAAAUGUGCGUACUGUCGGAGCGGAAUAUUUGAAAUAAAGUGCUCUUCUGUCACAAUUCUGUAGCAGUUGAGCCGAACUAAAAUGCCAAGGUUGGGGACGGGGAAUGCUCAACUGACGUAUUUAUGCCGAGCUCCUUGAUUUCAGCAAUGCGUAAGCGUGCCUUUAGAGUCACCGUUAUUGUCAUCUUUAUGCACAGCUCCCUCGCCGAGUCCCUUGUAGGUGCCGCUGACUGAAGCGUUCACGGUUCGGCUUUUGUAAUGCUGCAAGCGGCUUUGCUACGCAGCAAAACUACAUUUGCAUGCUUUCUUUGAGUGACGAAGGAAUAAUGAAAUACAAAUUUAAUUUGUGUACCCUGAGUUGUGAAAAGUGAAUGCUGCGUAGCUAAAAGCAUACAAUUGCAAACGGUGCCAGGAAACGCCUUACACUCGACACUGAGAUGCCGGCACUUUUGUUGUAACUACACACAGAGGGCUUAAUGACAUUUAUUCGUUAGAGCGAAGGCGAUUUCUCCUUACACGGUAUAUGUAUUAACGGGAAAUCAAAGUAAAUAGCCGUCACUUAUUUAUAUAAAAGAAACUAUCAGAUAUUUAUGAAUUUUAAUUUCACAACUCAGGUAAAACAUUUUUCUAGGUAUAACCACCUUCGUCAUGCAUAAGAAAGAUAGCAGAGGUAUUAUAUUUAUACCUACAAGUAGUUAUAAAAAAUAUAGCUUUGUUGCUGUUUCGGUUAUGAACAUAACAACACGGGACUCAUUCUAAAAAAAAUAGGCAAAACUAAUACCGAAUAAAGACUUGAAAAAUAAGUGCUUUUCUGGAAAUAAAACGUAAAAUUCGAGAAUUUUACCUCUUGUGACCUUCUCCUUACUGCUUAUUUCAAAUAAAUGUUCUGAGGAAUGCGCCUCGAGUUGUUUGCGGCCAUAUUAUAAGGCGAUAAUAAAUAAAGACAUAACAACCGAACACACGUGUUAUUGGAGUGGACCAAAACUACUGGUAAUUUUACUUGUAUAAGUUACCACUAUAUAAAACUUUUAACAAACACAAUUUUAUGGCAUUUACUUCAACGAAAGCCCAUCUGGAACCAUUCCAUUUCAACGUCCGCUAUCCAAACAAUAACGCUUCUUGAGUUAGUUUUGCUCGUUACUGAUUCAUCUGUAUAGACAAUUGACUUGAUAUACUCCACUCGUUUCAAUUACAAGGAUCCCGCUUAAUUGGACAACCCAAUCAAAAAAAUUCAUAUGUGCACUUUAAAUAUUUAUUUACUAUUUGGCAAUGAUAAUUAAAUAAUGUUUUUAUUUUUAGAGGGAAAAAAUAUUUCAUCAUUCGGUGCCAUGACUUAUCAAAGCUAUGUUUUGAGUGCUCAAAAAUAUAGUUGUUUCAGUCGAUGCGUGAGAGCUCAAAUCAUUGUGGUGAAGAGGGAUCUGGUUUCGGCGGUUAGUUUUCCUGAUUUCCUCUAAGACGACUGGCAUAAAAAUGGUUGUGUACCAAAAAACAGGUAACCAUUAGCUUGGAAGUGCUUUGUACGCGAACAACUUUUGUUGUAUUCGGCUCAUCUGGAAACACCCAUACAGUCGACUGCUGUUUACUUUCGGUCUCAAACGCGUAAAUCCACGAUUCAUCACCUGUCACUAUGUCAUAGAUUCACGAGAUUCAUCUUGGAGUGAUGUACGAUCUCGAUUGAAUUCUCCAUACCAUUGAUAAAUACUGUGGACAAAAAUUGUAAUAAGUUCAUUGAUGCACUGUUGUGGAGUUAAUCCAUGUCGAAAGUUGAAAAAUAUAAUUGAGCGAAAAUGUUCGCGAUUUAAUUUAAUUUUUUGGCCAAGAUAAAUUAAUUAAGUUACUGUAUACAAUACAAGAAGCGCUUGUACGAAAAACUCUCUCAAUAUGGAUAACAUCAAAAAUGAAAAAAAUUACGAUAAAGUUGUGAGUUGCCAGAUUGCAACACUAGUAUUGCCAAAUACCGAAAUAUAAAAGGCAACCGCACUGUGACCAACCAUUGCGGCAAUGUAAUUUGAAAUAUUGUCAUCUUUCUUGUGAAACACACUGUUCUCAAUAUGUAAUGAAAUGACUCAUAUUUGCCUGAUAACAGCGGAAUUAUAUUAGUGUUGCAUGCGUUUAUUUGCGUGUCCACGCGUGUUCAAAUGUAAUUGCGUCUAUUUAGCUAUACAAAUAAUACUGAAUGGAAGAUUUAUUGCCGCAUUUAAGACUGCUCAACAAAUAAUGGCGUUCAUUUUGCGAUACAUGUGCAUACAAGGUGAAGUAUUCCGGUCAGCCAGUUCUGCACGUUAACUAUAAAUACCCUAUUCUAAAAACUCCAUUUAUCACUCCACUCGAACAAUAGUAAAUUUCGUACUAUUGUUUUGCGAAAAGUUGAUGUAACGCUAAAACCGUAGGUUAGCAAGUCUUAUGUGGUAUAAGAUACCGUCUUUUAUUCCUAGAAUUCCUAGAUUACGAAGAUUGACCCAGUAGCCGGUAUUUGUGUUAAAAUGUCAAUAUAAAUGUAGUUCACAGUCAUACACUCAAAGACAGUAGUAACAAAGCCUUAGAAAGUUCAUGUUAUAUUUUCGUACUACCAGAAAGAAUUUUUAAACUUAGAUAUUUUUUAAGAGCAAAUUUCAAUAAAUGAAUGCUUAGCCCGCUACAUUAAUUUCAUUCCAUACCAUUUUUGAUUUCUUUGACUCUGGCAACGGACUCAAAGAGUCGCACAGUAAAAACAGUAAAAUAUAAUUUUAUGCUCUUCAUUAUGCAUUGGAUGUCUAACUCAUUUGAGAAAAUUACGAGAGCGUUAGUGAAAUUCAUUUCUCCUGAACAAAUAAUGCAGUGUUUUGUCAUUGAGAGUCCGUUUGCGAAUUACAUUUUUAUUGUUAAUGUCCGUCUAUUAUUGUGCGCUGACAAACUGACUGUUAGUGCUAUGGAAAGAUGAAUGCUUGCAGAACUUUUAUCACAUAACAAUUGCUCGCUCAGCUUGCCAGCGCCGAUGCCUUCUAGGAAAAGCUUGAACAUGUAAA